UGCCAUAACAGCGCGAAGCGAGACUUUGAAAUAGAAUUGAUUUUUAAAUUGUCGGAGGAAGAACUAGAUAGCGAAAUAUCAAGCGUUCGUGUAGUACCUGAGCUAGAUGAAAAUUCGGGGCCGGCUAAAAUAGUCUUGUUUCCUGGUAUUGAAGGAUUUGCCAAUGUAUUUGGAAACCUUACGAACGUGCUAGACGGUGCCGUGGCCUUACAAUAUCCAGCAGAUGGCCGAACUCUCACUGUCUCAAAGAUCGUAGAAUCUCUAGCGCCUGUGGUAGCGAAGCUGUUGACAAAAGAUGAACCUUCACGAUUGUGGGUUAUUCCUUCGGUGUGCUAAUAGCAGCGGAAAUAGUCAACAUAUUAGAAAGUAAAGGUUACACGGGAACUAUGAUAUGUAUAGACGGUGCGCCCCUUGUUUUGAAGACUUUAAUAAAGAAUUUGACUGAGGAAUCUGACCAUCUCCUGCAGAUUACUUUAAUUUUCCAAUUAUUAUGCCGCUGUAUACCGCAUGGUGAAGUUGCUAAACAUAAGAUGAAUAUAUGUAAAUGCUAAAGGUGGGAAGACAAGGUAAAUCUUGCAGUCGAUUUGGUUAAAAAAUACGCUCCGAUCAAGGCGAGCUAACUAGGAAUGGCUGCCAACACCAUCUACAAGCGGAUGA